GUGUAGGCAAUCUGGCUCUCUGUCACCCAAUUGACUGCCAGGGUCGACUCGGCUGAUCUGACUGGCUAAGCAUGUGUCCCUUUCCUCCCUGUCUGCUACAUGUGCAUCCUUCCCAAGCUGCACUCUCAGUGGAAAAGGACGACCUUAUCAAGGUGGGCUGUUUUGGUCAAGGGUAUAGGAGUAGUUGUACUCCCCUGCUAGAGCCUCCAAAGAAGUUCUCAAAGUCCCUUUCCUCUACUUCCAAAAUAGUCAAACACAUCUUAAACAUUCACAUUAUCUUUUGAAAUAUUUAGGUAAGAAUGGCUACAUUU
ensembl:misc_RNA 7SK 7SK RNA